rnacentral:rRNA from 1 species
GAUGUACGCUGGCGGCAUGCCUAAUACAUGCAAGUCGAGCGAAGCGGGGACGGGUGAGUAACACGUGGAUAACCUCCUAUAAUACUGGGAUAACUUCGGGAAACAGGAGAUAAAACGGAUACUUACAGAUGGAUCCGAGCGGCAUUAGCUAUGUGGUAAGAUAACGGCUUACCAAGGCAACGAUGCAUAGCCGACCUGAGAGGGUGAUCGGCCACACUGGACCUGAGACACGGUCGAGACUCCUACGAGAGGAAGCAGUAGGGAAUCUUCCGCAAUGGGCGAAAGCCUAACGGAGCAAUGCAGCGUGAAUGAUGAAGGUAUUCGGAUCGUAAAACUCUGUUAGUAGGGAUGCGUUACCUAAUCAGGAAGCCCCGGCUAACUACGUGCCAGCAGCCGCGGUAAUUC